rnacentral:rRNA from 1 species
UACGGAGGGGGGCGAGCGUUAUUCGGAAUCAUUGGGCGUAAAGGGCGCGUAGGCGGCCCCCGUAAGUCUUGGGUGAAAGCCCCUCGGCUCAACCGAGGAAUUGCCUUGGAUACUGCGGGGGCUCGAGGCUGGAAGAGGGCAGUGGAAUUCCCGGUCGUAGCGGUGAAAAUGCGUAGAUAUCGGGGAGGAACACCAGUGGCGAAGGCGGCUGCCUGGGCCCAGUUCUGACGCUGAGG